GACGAACGCUGGCGGCGUGCCUAAUACAUGCAAGUCGAACGCCGUUGCGAACGGGUGAGUAAAGCGUAGGUAACUGCCUCGUAGCGGGGGAUAACUAUUGGAAACGAUAGCUAAUACCGCAUACUGUGAGAUGGACCUGCGUUGUAUUAGCUAGUUGGUGAGGUUAAGGCUCAACAAGGAGACGAUACCUAGACGACCUGAGAGGGUGAUCGGGCGACAUGGGACUGAGGGAAGGCCCAGACUGCUACGGGAGGCAGCAGGAGGGAAUCUUCGGGAAGGGACGGAAGUCUGGCCGAGCAACGGCGGGGGAGUGAAGAAGGUUUUCGGAUCGUAAAGCUUUGUUGUUAGAGAAGCGGUAACUAACCAAGAAGGGACGGCUAACUACGUGCCAGCCGCCGCGGUAAUAC
rnacentral:rRNA from 1 species